rnacentral:piRNA from 1 species
UCCAAGAAACGUCAUUGGUAACUGGCCAGU